AAAAGAAAAGAAAAGAAAAGAAAAGAAAAGAAAAGAAAAGAAAAGAAAAGGAGUUACAGCCCAUCUGAGCACCUGAAGGCUGGCCUCAGAGGCAAAACCCACAUUGUUUAAUGUGUUGUGUUAUUUUAGGGCACACCUAUGACAUUUAAGAGGCACAUUUUUAAGACUAACCUCAGUGGCAGAAAUCUUCUUUUCUGUAGCAUGGAGUCCUUUGCCCAAGGACAGCACUGUCAGAAGGACACCCACUGCAAUCUGGCCAAAUCCAGUGCACACUUCCUAGGCACUUACAGGGACUGGACAGAAUACUGUCUGAAUGAGAUGAAGAAAAACAUCAAGACUGGGAUCUUUGGAAGCAAAAAAAAAAUUAAGAGAAGUUUGGAAGAUAUUUAUGCCCACUGUGUUCUGUCUACUGAGAAAAAACCAAAAUUCCUUAUAUAUGUGUCACUCUGCCUGACUGAUGGUUUCAGAGCUCAGACUGACAUGACUGUGGUUUAAAGGCAGAUGGAUGGAAGAGGAAGCCACUUGCACCAUUCCAGAGGAUGCCAGGACCUGCUUCCCUUGCAAAUAGGCUCCUAAAAUUCUGUUUUCCAAUGCACAUCUUACAGCAGCCUGGAAGUCUGGAAUGAGCUUACAUUCACAAAUUGAGCUCUCAGGAUAGUGGCUGCAGUGACAUCUGUCAGGGAGGGAGAGAUGACAGCCGCAGGUGAUAACAGCUUCAGGUAUAAGAUUUUAAUCUGCUUGUUUGUUGGGGUAAUCCUUGUCUAGAAAAUUAAGGAAAGAAAUGAAGAGGGAGGGAGAGGUGUAAAAUGUGAAUAAAAAGGUUCUCCACUUCCCUUACA
rnacentral:lncRNA from 1 species